AUUGAACGCUGGCGGCAUGCCUUACACAUGCAAGUCGAGCGGCAGCGCGGGGGCAACCCUGGCGGCGAGCGGCGAACGGGUGAGUAAUACAUCGGAACGUGUCCUGUCGUGGGGGAUAACCAGUCGAAAGACUGGCUAAUACCGCAUGAGAUCGAAAGAUGAAAGCGGGGGACCGCAAGGCCUCGCGCGAUUGGAGCGGCCGAUGUCGGAUUAGCUAGUUGGCGGGGUAAAAGCCCACCAAGGCGACGAUCCGUAGCUGGUUUGAGAGAACGACCAGCCACACUGGGACUGAGACACGGCCCAGACUCCUACGGGAGGCAGCAGUGGGGAAUUUUGGACAAUGGGGGCAACCCUGAUCCAGCCAUGCCGCGUGUGUGAAGAAGGCCUUCGGGUUGUAAAGCACUUUCGGCCGGAACGAAAUCGCGCGGAUUAAUAACCCGCGUGGAUGACGGUACCGGAAGAAGAAGCACCGGCUAACUACGUGCCAGCAGCCGCGGUAAAAC
rnacentral:rRNA from 1 species